rnacentral:rRNA from 1 species
UUGAACGCUGGCGGAAUGCUUUACACAUGCAAGUCGAACGGCAGCACGGGGGCAGCCCUGGUGGCGAGUGGCGAACGGGUGAGUAAUACAUCGGAACGUGCCCGGUCGUGGGGGAUAACGUAGCGAAAGUUACGCUAAUACCGCAUACGAUCUGAGGAUGAAAGCGGGGGACCUUCGGGCCUCGCGCGAUCGGAGCGGCCGAUGUCAGAUUAGGUAGUUGGUGGGGUAAAGGCCUGCCAAGCCGACGAUCUGUAGCUGGUCUGAGAGGACGACCAGCCACACUGGGACUGAGACACGGCCCAGACUCCUACGGGAGGCAGCAGUGGGGAAUUUUGGACAAUGGGCGCAAGCCUGAUCCAGCCAUUCCGCGUGCAGGACGAAGGCCUUCGGGUUGUAAACUGCUUUUGUACGGAACGAAAAGGCUCUGGCUAAUACCUGGGGCUCAUGACGGUACCGUAAGAAUAAGCACCGGCUAACUACGUG